rnacentral:rRNA from 1 species
UACGGGGGGGGCAAGCGUUGUUCGGAAUUACUGGGCGUAAAGGGCUCGUAGGUGGCCAACUAAGUCGGACGUGAAAUCCCUCGGCUUAACCGGGGAACUGCGUCCGAUACUGGUUGGCUUGAGUUUGGGAGAGGGAUGCGGAAUUCCAGGUGUAGCGGUGAAAUGCGUAGAUAUCUGGAGGAACACCGGUGGCGAAGGCGGCGUCCUGGACCAACACUGACACUGAGGAGCGAAAGCCAGGGGAGCAAACGGG